rnacentral:lncRNA from 1 species
UUCUUAUCCUGGCAGCGGCAGGAACAGGAAGGAAGGAUGGCAGGAAGGAUGGCAGAACAGGGGAAGGGUAGUUACAAGGGCAGUGCUUCUGGAGAUUUGACAUUUCUCAAACCAUUGCACGCCCUACACGCCCUGUAGGAAAUAUGCUGCCUGUGCCAGCAAGAAGAUGAAAGAACUCUGCAGGCAUCACUGGCUGAGGAGCAGCUGAAAAAAGAGUGGGAGAAACAGCACAUGUGGGAAAAGUGCAAGGCUCGUGGCGAAAGGAACGGGGGAGAGAGUAUCUGGCAGAAGACGCAGACAGAAAUGCCGAGGCUGCAGACAGAGAGUGCUUCCUGCACGGCACUUGUGGAACUG